GGGGCCGUGGUCUAGCGUGGGAGGAUGCCCGCCUAGCGAGCGAGUGGCGGGGGUUCGAGUCCCCCCGGCUCCA
rnacentral:tRNA from 1 species